rnacentral:rRNA from 1 species
UUUCCGUAGGUGAACCUGCGGAAGGAUCAUUGUCGGUACAUGAACAAAUAGACCGCGAACAUGUUCAAACACUGGGGACCGUUGCGUGGGGCAAACCCGCGGCGUGUCCUCCUCCCGCGCGGGCUGCGGGCUAACGAACCCCGGCGCGGCAUGCGCCAAGGAAAACGGAUAGGAGCGUCUGCCCUCGUCGCACCGUCCGCGGUGAGCGAGGGGGACGUGCCUCAAUGUCUAAAUGACUCUCGGCAACGGACAUCUCGGCUCUCGCAUCGAUGAAGAACGUAGCGAAAUGCGAUACUUGGUGUGAAUUGCAGAAUCCCGUGAACCAUCGAGUCUUUGAACGCAAGUUGCGCCCGAAGCCUCACGGCCGAGGGCACGCCUGCCUGGGCGUCACGCAUCACGUCGCCCCCGACCUCCUCCGGACAUUGGCCUCCCGUGUGCAUCAGCUCGCGGCCGGCUUAAAUGAAUUCACGAGGCACCCGCCGUCACGACAAGCGUUGGUUGAGCACUCAACUCUCUUCCUGUCGUGUUGGGAGCGUCGCGUACCCUUAGACCCAACGGUGUGACCCUUCGUAGGCGACCCCAGGUCAGGCGGGACCACCCGCUGAGUUUAA